CGUGCAGGUGUUGUUUCAGAGAGUGAACGUGCAGGUGUUGUUUCAGAGAGUGAACGUGCAGGUGUUGUUUCAGAGUGUGAAUGUACAGGUGUUGUUUCAGAGAGUGAACGUGCAGGUGUUGUUUCAGAGUGUGAACGUGCAGGUGUUGUUUCAGAGAGUGAAUGUACAGGUGUUGUUUCAGAGAGUGAAUGUACAGGUGUUGUUUCAGAGUGUGAAUGUACAGGUGUUGUUUCAGAGAGUGAAUGUACAGGUGUUGUUUCAGAGUGUGAACGUGCAGGUGUUGUUUCAGAGAGUGAAUGUACAGGUGUUGUUUCAGAGAGUGAAUGUACAGGUGUUGUUUCAGAGUGUGAAUGUACAGGUGUUUCAGAGAGUGAAUGUGCAGGUGUUGUUUCAGAGUGUGAACGUGCAGGUGUUGUUUCAGAGAGUGAACGUGCAGGUGUUGUUUCAGAGUGUGAACGUGCAGGUGUUGUUUCAGAGAGUGAACGUGCAGAUGUUGUUUCAGAGAGUGAACGUGCAGAUGUUGUUUCAGAGAGUGAACGUGCAGAUGUUGUUUCAGAGUGUGAAC